GACGAACGCUGGCGGCGUGCUUAACACAUGCAAGUCGAACGGAAAGGCCCCUUUGGGGGUACUCGAGUGGCGAACGGGUGAGUAACACGUGAGUAACCUGCCCUUGACUUCGGGAUAACUUCAGGAAACUGGGGCUAAUACCGGAUAGGAAUCCUUGCUGCAUGGUGGGGGUUGGAAAGCUUCGGCGGUUUUGGAUGGACUCGCGGCUUAUCAGCUUGUUGGUGGGGUAGUGGCUUACCAAGGCUUUGACGGGUAGCCGGCCUGAGAGGGCGACCGGCCACAUUGGGACUGAGAUACGGCCCAGACUCCUACGGGAGGCAGCAGUGGGGAAUAUUGCACAAUGGGCGGAAACCUGAUGCAGCAACGCCGCGUGCGGGAUGACGGCCUUCGGGUUGUAAACCGCUUUCAGCAGGGGCGAAGCUUGUGGUGACGGUACCUGCAGAAGAAGCACCGGCUAACUACGUGC
rnacentral:rRNA from 1 species